rnacentral:rRNA from 1 species
AGAGUUUGAUCCUGGCUCAGGAUGAACGCUGGCGGUAUGCUUAACACAUGCAAGUCGAACGAAAUCUUCGGAUUUAGUGGCGGACGGGUGAGUAACGCGUGAGAAUCUAGCUCUAGGUCGGGGACAACCACUGGAAACGGUGGCUAAUACCGGAUGUGCCGAAAGGUGAAAGAUUUAUUGCCUAGAGAUGAGCUCGCGUCUGAUUAGCUAGUAGGUGUGGUAAGAGCGCACCUAGGCGACGAUCAGUAGCUGGUCUGAGAGGAUGAUCAGCCACACUGGGACUGAGACACGGCCCAGACUCCUACGGGAGGCAGCAGUGGGGAAUUUUCCGCAAUGGGCGAAAGCCUGACGGAGCAAUACCGCGUGAGGGAGGAAGGCUCUUGGGUUGUAAACCUCUUUUCUCAGGGAAGAACAAAAUGACGGUACUUGAGGAAUAAGCAUCGGCUAACUCCGUGCCAGCAGCCGCGGUAAUACGGAGGAUGCAAGCGUUAUCCGGAAUGAUUGGGCGUAAAGCGUCCGCAGGUGGCUAUGUAAGUCUGCUGUUAAAGAGUGAGGCUCAACCUCAUAAGAGCAGUGGAAACUACAUGGCUAGAGUGCGUUCGGGGCAGAGGGAAUUCCUGGUGUAGCGGUGAAAUGCGUAGAGAUCAGGAAGAACACCGGUGGCGAAAGCGCUCUGCUAGGCCGCAACUGACACUGAGGGACGAAAGCUAGGGGAGCGAAUGGGAUUAGAUACCCCAGUAGUC